rnacentral:lncRNA from 1 species
AGAUGAAGGCCGUCGAAGAUCACAAGCGCAGCUUGCUAUUGUACAGGUUUAGAAUUUAGAAAGGUGACCUAUUUUUUCAUGUGAACUUACCUAUUCUUUGCUAUUCAGAAUGAUUAUUUAUCUUCCCAUUGCUGUGUUAAUUGAUUCAUAUGCGGUUCUGCUAUUCUGACAAGGAUAUCCAUCAAGGUUAUUUGGAGGGACAUAAUGAAACGUCACAAGUUCUACUUUGCUGAUUCUUUCAGAGAAUUGUUUCAUUACAAAUGCGCUGUCGCGGACAUGUAUUAAUCCCAAAUUCCAAAUCACUCUGGAAUCCAGUCAAAAUCCAGUCAAAAUCACUCUGGAAUCCUUCUCCGUAAUUGAUUCGCAAACUACUCUCAAGGACUGCUCUGAACCUCAAAUAUCGUGGGCACAUGAAGUUGUGGUGUGAUUUUUACAGAAACAAGUGAUCCAGGCAGCAAGGUAUUGAUUGAUGCAACUAUGUUGUAAUGUUUCAGUGACUGUUAAUAUUUUUUUAGGAAGGAUAACCAAUUUAGAUGAUACCCAAGGAGUUCUGGAUGGGAGAUUGUUUAUUUCUACGUCGUGCAAUUCAACAUUUCAGUACUAAAAGUAUUUUUCAUGUUAUCUAGAUUGGGGUACAUCCUUUGUAAACUAAUAUGAGGCCUUUUAGGUCACGGAAGUAGUGACCUAAAAGCUCUUGUUUACAGAGGGGUUUGAUUUGUGAGGUCCGAGCGCGGGCAGCGGCCGGCGGUGGAGGUGGAAAAAGAAGUCUGGCAUGGGUUGAUUUAGUUUGAACACGAAUCCAUCAGGAUCGCCCUGAUCUGUACACGUAGACAUAACAAACAAACAAAACAUGUGUGUUCAUACCUGGGGUUGAAACCGUACAGCGUCGCCGAUCGCACGUUCCGUGGCGGCGCGUGAUCCAAAAACUGCCAGCGAUCCAGAAACGUGGCGGCGACAGUCGUUCCGCGGCGGCGGUGCUGUGGAGUGCGCAGAUCGCACGACGGCUGCGCAGAUCUGAUCGGCAGCGGGGUAUGGGGAUUGGCGGCGGGGUAUGGGGCAUGGGGAUCCUGAUGGGCGGCAGGGCGCAGUUUCUUUGGCUACCUGCGUGGGUGGGGUUCGGUGUGUGGGUGUGGGGGUGGGGGUAAUUUGAUGGAAUAAAAACCAGACGAAAAAAACCGGUUGACUCUGCUGGAUACAAGUUAAGAAUUCAAGAUGCUAAGAUGUCCUGUUCAUCUGACCGCAGGCAGAUGAAGGCCGUCGAAGAUCACAAGCGCAGCUUGCUAUUGUACAGGUUUAGAAUUUAGAAAGGUGACCUAUUUUUUCAUGUGAACUUACCUAUUCUUUGCUAUUCAGAAUGAUUAUUUAUCUUCCCAUUGCUGUGUUAAUUGAUUCAUAUGCGGUUCUGCUAUUCUGACAAGGAUAUCCAUCAAGGUUAUUUGGAGGGACAUAAUGAAACGUUACAAGUUCUACUUUGCUGAUUCUUUCAGAGAAUUGUUUCAUUACAAAUGCGCUGUCGCGGACAUGUAUUAAUCCCAAAUUCCAAAUCACUCUGGAAUCCAGUCAAAAUCCAGUCAAAAUCACUCUGGAAUCCUUCUCCGUAAUUGAUUCGCAAACUACUCUCAAGGACUGCUCUGAACCUCAAAUAUCGUGGGCACAUGAAGUUGUGGUGUAAUUUUUACAGAAACAAGUGAUCCAGGCAGCAAGGUAUUGAUUGAUGCAACUAUGUUGUAAUGUUUCAGUGACUGUUAAUAUUUUUUUAGGAAGGAUAACCAAUUCAGAUGAUACCCAAGGAGUUUUGGAUGGGAGAUUGUUGUAGGGGUACGUAGCAGAAAAUAAAAUUUUUCCUAUG